UACAGAGGGUGCGAGCGUUAAUCGGAAUUACUGGGCGUAAAGCGCGCGUAGGCGGCUCUGCAAGUCGGGUGUGAAAUCCCCAGGCUUAACCUGGGAACUGCAUUCGAGACUGCAUUGCUAGAGUAUGGGAGAGGGAAGUGGAAUUUCCGGUGUAGCGGUGAAAUGCGUAGAUAUCGGAAGGAACAUCAGUGGCGAAAGCGACUUCCUGGACCAAUACUGACGCUCAUGUGCGAAAGCGUGGGGAGCAAACAGG
rnacentral:rRNA from 1 species